AUUGAACGCUGGCGGCAGGCCUAACACAUGCAAGUCGAACGAGUGGCGGACGGGUGAGUAAUGUCUGGGAAACUGCCCGAUGGAGGGGGAUAAGUACUGGAAACGGUAGCUAAUACCGAAUACAAUCGGAUGUGCCCAUAUGGGAUUAGCUAGUAGGUGGGGUAACGGACAACCUAGGCGACGAUACCUAGCUGGUCUGAGAGGAUGACCACCAAAACUGUAUCUGAGACACGGUCCAUAGUCCUACGGGAGGCAGCAGUGGGGAAUAUCGCACAAUGGGCGCAAGCCUGAUGAAGCCAUGCCGCGUGUAUGAAGAAGGCCUUCGGGUUGUAAAGUACUUUCAGCGAGGAGGCGUUACUCGCAGAAUAAGCACCGGCUAACUCCGUGCCAGCAGCCGCGGUAAUAC
rnacentral:rRNA from 1 species